rnacentral:rRNA from 1 species
UACGUAGGGAGCAAACGUUGUCCGGAAUCAUUGGGCGUAAAGCGCGCGUAGGUGGCUUCGUAAGUCCGUUGUGAAAGUCAAAGGCUCAACCUUUGAAAGCCGAUGGAUACUGUGAAGCUAGAGUACGGAAGAGGCGAGUGGAAUUCCUGGUGUAGCGGUGGAAUGCGCAGAUAUCAGGAGGAACACCAAUAGCGAAGGCAGCUCGCUGGGACGUUACUGACACUGAGGCGCGAAAGCGUGGGGAGCGAACAGG